GUUUUAUUUUCUUUAAAUCAAGCAGGUUACAUUUCAUUCGUUUUUACACAAUCUGAUAUUUGGAGCCAUUUGCAAAUAUGCUCAUAAAUUACAUGAUUUGUAAUCCUUAUCGAAAAAAAUCAUAAAAGAAUGAGGUGGUUAAUGAUCAAUAUUGGGAUCAACAGUGAUCACCCUACUAAUGUAGGCAUUACGUAUGCAGGCAGAAGAAGAAAAGUUCCCAUCAAGGUCUCAUGUGAAACACCACAGGUCUGAACUACUCAGGAACACAUGAAAAUGGCACAAAAAUUAAUUUCACUCUCCAACCUUUUGCUCAAGAGACGUUGACAGGCCCACAGAGAGCCUGGAGCUCACAACAUUCACACACAUUCUGCUUCAUGAAGAGGUCAGAUUAUCGUCAGACCAUAGACAUUACAUGCAAGGACACUGAACAUUUGGCCGGAUUACACAUAGAAAUGCAAUCCAGGACAAAAUGGGUGAAGAUAAAGCAUGUUUAUUGAUGCGGCCAACAAAGGUUCAAAUAUCCUCCAAAGCACUUCAAGCCCUCAAAGAAUGAAACUCAAAACGCAGAUGAGGUAAAAGAAGAAACUUCUAAAUUAAAGUGGAGCGACCCAGGGACAAGUGUGGUUUGGGUUAAAGAUUAUGGAUGGUUAACUUUGUGUAACGUGUUUGGACAAGCAAGUUUAGGUUUUAGGCAAGCGACUUCAGGUAUUAGGUAAGCGACUUCAGGUAUUAGGCAAGCGAGUUCAGGCAAGCGAGUCAAGCUAAGGUUUUAUGCAAGCGAGUUUAGGUUUUAUGCAAGCGAGUUUAGCCAAGCGAGUACAGGCAAGCGAGUCAAGCUAAGCGAGUUUAGGUUUUAUGCAAGUCAGUUCAGGCAAGCGAGUUAAGCUAAGCGAGUUUAGGUUUUAUGCCAGCGAGUUUAGGUUUUAUGCAAGCGAGUUUAGCCAAGCGAGAACAGGCAAGCGAGUCAAGCUAAGCGAGUUUAGGCUUUAUGCAAGUGAGUUUAGGCAAGCGAGUUCAGGUAUUAGGCAAGCGAGUUCAGGCAAGCGAGUUCAGGUAUUAGGCAAGCGACGCGAGUUUAGCCAAGCAAGUUCAGGUUUUAUGCAAGCGAGUUUAGGUUUUAUGCAAGCGAGUUUAGGCAAGCGAGUUUAGGCAAGCGAGUCAAGUUACUUUAGGCCUCACUUUAUUUGCGGUUAAAUUGCGGCAUUAGGUUUAGAAAGAAGGUUAAGAUCCAGGCUCAGGGUUGCUUCCAGCCUCGUCCCUCUAGCUGCUCCCUAUAAAGAGGGUUCCCAGCUACCGUGUUAAAAUACAACAGCUGGGAUUACAGAUAUGGAGUACAGAAAUAAAUGACAAAGAUUGAUUCAAACAUUCUUCCCCCCAAAAUGUGGUGCAACAUAAUGGAGAUAAUAAUUACUUCCUCUCCAUUGAAACCCAGUCAUAUCUUACGAUCUCACGAGGUCCCGCCGCAGACCCGGGGCGGACUUACAAGCUCUAUAGAGUGUGCACUGCGUGUUAAUGUUGGGUGUGGAUUAAUGUGCUGGUGUAGCCAGGGAUCCUCAGGGUUUAUGGGGAGUAGGACACACUGGUGUAGUUCAGUGCUCGUUGGGUCUCUGCACCAUGACACCCAGCCGCCGCACAUCUGGUCUCCCUUUAAGUCGCCUGAAGGAGAGGUCAACUUUAUUGAACCGAAGGGGAAUGGGUCACAUGAAAAGGAAGGAUAAAUCAAAGCUAAACAUUGGAUGAAAACAAGCAUUGUCCAACAUGGGGUUCGGCGAUAUUUUGAUGAAAAAACAUUUAGGUGUACGAUCCAACCAUCAAAAACAGGCUCUUAUCAUGUUUCCAAUGUGCCCCGAGUUGCUACGCCCUCAUCAACCACCAGGUGGCAGACUUGAUUUUGUCAGUAGAAGGAGCAAAAUAGCCAUCCAGCUUGAUUACAGCAAUAGUAGAGGAGCGAGUCAAAAUAAUGCGUUUGAGCACCUUCAGCCUUUGGCUCUUGUUCAAGGACAUCCCGCUGAUUGGCUGAAGUCAGAUCUUAUUCUCUAGAAAGUUUGUUACAGAAGAAGCCCCUAGUAUCAAAGCAACAUACCCGCCAAACAAAACUAACCUUGUUGAAUAAAUGAAAAUGUCUUCAAGAUGGUCAAUCCAGUAUCUUACCGGUUCCACAUGGAGUCUCUAGUCUGCUGCGCUGCGGGCCUUGGGUCCGUCCUCUGCUCCGGGACGAGGUCUUGAGUAUAAAGAACCAGUCAGUCAUCAAGCUGCUUGGUCUCUUCAAAGAGGUGGAGGUUUGACCAUGAGGACGCUGUGGAUACG
ensembl:lncRNA